CGCGUGUUGUGUGCAGUCGGUAAUUCCCAAAGUACUAUGAAGCCUUGAACUUUCACGCAGACAAAGACUGAUACGUCCAACAGUUCGUAUAAAUACCAUGCAACUCAGUACAUUCGAUAUCAGUGACUUCUCAUUCAGAGAUCUGACCACUAGUUAAUUAGAAAAUCAUGAAGAACUUUAUCUUCGCCAUUCUGGCUAUUACCUUUGUGGUAGCCGCAUCUACCACCACAAUCCCAAAUGCACGUAAAACUGAGCUCCGUCAUCGUCGGGAAGCCGGACCGGAACCAGAACCAAGUAAUCGACCACCCCGACCUAUAACUCUCCCACCAAUUAAUCCUCGUCUUCGUCGCGAAGCUGAUCCAGAACCGGAACCAGCCAACCGACCAGUGUACAUUCCACCACCACGUCCACCACAUCCGCGCCUUCGUCGCGAAGCUGAUCCAGAACCGGAACCAGCUAACCGACCAGUGUACAUUCCACCACCACGUCCACCACAUCCGCGCCUUCGUCGCGAAGCUGAUCCAGAACCGGAACCAGCCAACCGACCAGUGUACAUUCCACCACCACGUCCACCACAUCCGCGCCUUCGUCGCGAAGCUGAUCCAGAACCGGAACCAGCUAACCGACCAGUGUACAUUCCACCACCACGUCCACCACAUCCGCGCCUUCGUCGCGAAGCUGAUCCAGAACCGGAACCAGCCAACCGACCAGUGUACAUUCCACCACCACGUCCACCACAUCCGCGCCUUCGUCGCGAAGCUGAUCCAGAACCGGAACCAGCCAACCGACCAGUGUACAUUCCACCACCACGUCCACCACAUCCGCGCCUUCGUCGCGAAGCUGAUCCAGAACCGGAACCAGCUAACCGACCAGUGUACAUUCCACCACCACGUCCACCACAUCCGCGCCUUCGUCGCGAAGCUGAUCCAGAACCGGAACCAGCCAACCGACCAGUGUACAUUCCACCACCACGUCCACCACAUCCGCGCCUUCGUCGCGAAGCUGAUCCAGAACCGGAACCAGCCAACCGACCAGUGUACAUUCCACCACCACGUCCACCACAUCCGCGUCUUCGUCGCGAAGCUGAUCCAGAACCGGAACCAGCCAACCGACCAGUGUACAUUCCACCACCACGUCCACCACAUCCGCGUCUUCGUCGCGAAGCUGAUCCAGAAGCGGAAGUAGGCUCCCGACUAAUGUACCUUCCACCACCACCAUGUUCACCAUAUCUGCGCUUUCGUCGUGAAGCUGAUCCAGAAGCGGAAGUAGGCUACCGAUCAAUGUACUAUCCACGACCAUGUCCAACACAUUCGCACCUUCGUCAUGGAGCUGAUGCAGAUGCGGAAUUAUAUUACUGACCAGUGCACAUACAUCACCCAAACAUCAUAUCCGGCUGAAUGUACGUUAAAUACUCGAAGAAGUAUUCUUUAUUUCCCUAAUAUACCCAAGGCGAAUUAAAAUAUUUUAACCUAAUACUCUGUAAGAUGUAGUUAACUUCACAAUAAAAUUAGUUAUUAUUUUAAAAUGUA